rnacentral:rRNA from 1 species
AACGAACGCUGGCGGCAUGCCUAACACAUGCAAGUCGAACGAGACCUUCGGGUCUAGUGGCGCACGGGUGCGUAACGCGUGGGAACAUGCACUUGGGUUCGGACUAACUACCCGACAGGGGUGCUAAUACGGAAUCAUAUCUACGGCCCAAUGAUUUUUCGCCUUUGGUGGGGCCAGCGUUGGAUUCGAUGGUUGUUAUGGUAAAAGCCUACCAAGGCGUGCAUCAAUAACUGGUCAGAGAGAAUGAUCAGCCACACUGGGACGGAGACCCGGCCGGGACUCCUACGCGAUGCAGCAGAGGGGAAUGGUGGACCAUGGGCUGAAGCCUGAUCCAGCAAGGACGGGUGAGUGAUGUAAGCCGGAGGGUUGUAAAGUGCUUGUACCUGUGAUGAUAAUGACAGUACCGGGAGAAUAAGCUCCGGCUAACUCCGUG